GGAUGGGAAGGAGGUUGUCAUUGCUUUCUACAAGUUGGAUUGUGUUCCUUGGACAACAGGAUUGAAGGAACUUUGGCCAACCUGAAACAUCGCUGUGAGAAAUGCGGCUUCAUGAUUUUCCUAAAGCAAAACAACCACAAGUCCCCCUGCUUCCUGACAGGCCAAGGCUGCUAUAAGACCAUCAGAGACUCAGCCAUCAGGCCCAGGCUCCACACUCCUGCUACUGUGCUUCCCUGCUUUCCUGUUGUUCAUUUGCCUUAGAAGGCUACUUUCAAGACUCUUUGUAUGCCAGACCAAACAAGAGUGGAUCUAAAACUCUACAAGUGGGUGGGGGAUUUGGUGCAGUGGUUCUAGCACCUGCCUCCCAAGCACAAGGGCCCCAGAUUGAUCCCCAGUGCCAAAAAUAAAUAAAUA
rnacentral:lncRNA from 1 species